rnacentral:lncRNA from 1 species
CCCCUUUACUUUCUCCCUCCCAGCCAACAGUAGCAGGAGCCACCGCCAAUGCCCAACGCUGUCGUCGCCGAUGAACUCGUCUCCUCAGCCAGCGUCCAGCCUCGUCGUCACCAAUCCUCUUCUCCUGGAUCCCAUCUCCUCGCGUUGCUAGGUCUCAUCGUCGAACGGAUAGAGAGUGUUGUCGUCGCCGAGUGGAACUGACCGUGGUGGCAUCAAGAAUCGUUGCCUGUGGAAGGUGAAGGUAUACUCGUCGCUGUCAUUGUUUCUCUUCCCCUCGCCGUCGUCUCUCUCUGUCACUGUCGAGCCCGCUCUCUGUCUUCGUCGUCGUUGGCCACCCUGAAAUCGUGUCUCCGUUGGUCCGUCCUCAUCGUCGAUCCCCCUCUCUCGUGCGUCAAGCCUGUCUUCAAUCCCCUCUGUACCUGAGCUCACGUCCCUUCUUUCAUCGCCGUCACGUGGAUUCCUCCUUCGCCACCAGUCUUCAAUUUAAUUUUGUUUGUUUUUGUACUUUUAUUUGGUUUCUGAUUUCUGAUUCUAAAUUUACUAAUUUCUUCUAAGCUUGAGUUUAUGAAUUUCUGAGUUUGUAAGCAGAUACCUGCCCUUAUUCAGUUUUCAUUUUUGGGAG